GCUUUAGGCAAAAACGGAAUACACCGAUCAGCUUACCGAAUAUAGUUUCACAAAUAUUCUAGUGUAAAUUGCGAUAAAAGAGAUAUUAAUUUCAGUGGUUAACAAUUUCGGAAUAAUGAGUUUCUGGAGUUAAGGAAAAACAAAUAUUUUUCGGAUUUAUAAUGGAUCGAAGUCAUCGAUAUCACUGGAAAGGCGUGCUUCUGGCUAUCUUGCUCGGCACCUCGACUGCAUCACCUCCUUCGGUGUCGGUAUACCUGGACAGCGACCGAAACCCCGAACUCGGAGACAGUGUCGUUCUUGAGUGUGAAGCUGAUGACUUCGAAGGAUACGAUGUCGUCUUUAAAUGGAGGUUUAGGAACAUGCAAAUUGGAAAUAUGUCCUCCCGGGGGAAAUACAUGGAAGAGCUGGAUAGUUAUUACUCACACCUGACUAUUCAUGACAUAGGCCAUGCUGACCUGGGACAAUAUGAAUGUUUUGCAAGUAGUAGCGCAAAUGGACAGCUGUCGGACAAGUACUACCUGGAUUUCGAUUUUAGUCCAGCACUUUACAUGAGCAAACGCCAAAUAAACAUCGGUGACGACGUAACCAUGUCAUGCAGACACAAUCUGAAUCAGGGGGAUUGGAAAUUCGAGGACAAAAGAGGAAUUAUUAUUUCAUCGGCUGAAUUCGUUAAGCGAUUUGUAAACCAUGUGACAAGCUUGUUUGCACCUGAAUAUAUGAAGAACGUUACGCUGCAAAAUGUAACCCUGGAGCAGAGUGGAAACUACAUUUGUUUCAAUACAAGAGGCCAGCAAAAAGAAGCUAAAACUGCAUUAGACGUCUUAGGAAUGACGAUCAAUUGCCAUAGCCAGAAUAACCAGGAUAUGAUUUUAACUGAGGGUGUUGAUGAUACAGUUGUUUGCACUGUCCAAGCCAAUCCGGCUAUUGAAAGAAACGGUGAUGUCGGCUUGUGGUGGUCACCUAUCGUUGGCAGUGUCGAAUUCGAGAAAAUACCUAACGAUGUUUGCAGUGUAGUUAUGGAGCCAGGACCCCCUUUAACUUCUUGGGACCUAACAAUAGAUGUAAAAGGGAUAUAUGUGUAUCGGCUAAUCAACAAACGCAUUAAAAUACAAAUUAAUGACCAAUACGUAUCUAUCAAUAUACAAAUACAGCAACGCUGUCAACCGCGGUGUGGGCCAAAUAUGAAGUGUGACAUGAAAGGGCAAUGCUCGUGUACGCCCGGAUUUCGCCUCAACCCUAUUGGUAUCGGCACCGGAUGUGUUCCAGAAGAAAAUGAGCAACGCUGUCAACCGCCGUGUGGGCCAAAUAUGAAGUGUGACAUGAAAGGGCAAUGUUCGUGUACGCCCGGAUUUCGUCCCAACCCUGUCGGUAUCGGCACAGGGUGUAUUGCAGAAGGAAAUGUUUCUGCAAGAGUGUACAUUCUGCUCCAUUGACCUUCAGCUGGUGUUAUUUUGGUGUUUUACCAAGGAAGUCAGCCAGCCUUAACAUCAGGAAUCCACCAACAACCAGCCAACUCUAAACAAUGGAUGACAAGGAAUCAAAUCAUGAAAUACAUAGCCAGAGGUUUCCCAAGGAUUUCUUGUUCUAAUUGAACUGAAUUACAUAAUUAUCUAAAGAAAGAGAUGAAGCCUGAUGCUGUCCAUCCUAUGAUAUUCUGGUAUUAAACAUUAGGGAGGCGUUCACCACAAAGAUGGAUAAAAAAGGAAAACAAAAGACCGCCAUUAAACACUAGAUCAAGUAAUAAUAUAUUUGAAUGGAAAUCCCAAUGUUUUAUAUGUGGAGAAAAAUGUGAUAAAAAUGAGACAAAAAUAACACUUGUAGAGGAUAUAAAAAAGCUGGCUUUAUGUUGAAAGUGCAACAGCUAUAGACGAUAAGACAAUAUUCAAAGGUUUUGCAAGUUGCAUAUGAACGUCAUGACGAAACUAUGAUAGACUGGCUUUUGAGUCUUCCGAAUUGUGACCUGGUUGUUGCAAAAGCAAGAUAUCAUAGAAAGAAGGUUGUCUAUCGAAACACUACGCUAACACAAGCUGUAACCUAGAGAAACAUCAAGCUGCAAAUACAAGCCUGUACCCAAGAAGCUGCUGAACAAGUGAAGAAAGACUACGAACCAUUGAUACUCAAAGGAAUGAAAGUUUAUAAUGUGUCCACAUUGCGAGACAGGUUCAUUCAAAUAGCAAAAGCAGAUUGUUGUUCCGAGGUUGAAAACUACAAGAGCUCAUACUUCAAGAAAGUGCUAAGUGACUUGUGGCCAGACAUUUCUUUCAUUUUCUCAGAGUGACAAUCAGAAUUAAUUUGUUCUCCCUCGAAAACAUUAGGAUAAGCAAUCAAAGAAAAAAAGAAACAAAUCAUCUUUAAGAUAUGGUUCAAAACGAAACAGAAGGUUAGUAUGAUAUUGAAAUGGAAGAGGACACAGAUGAAUCAAUAAUACACAAGGCCAUUAGAGUUCUCAGAAAACGAAUAGCCAAAUGUAGUACGAAACUUACUCAAGAAUAUUACUCCCCUGAAGAGAUGUCACUGAGAUCGCAGAAAGACUUUAUUGACCCAUUGCUAUAUAAAGCAGUGUGUUGGCUAUCGGAUGAGGUGUGUUUUGAAAAUGCAACAGAAAUAGUUUACACAAAGUGUCUAGUAAUAGCAUGCGAUUAAACAAGAUUAGUCACAUCUUACGCUUCCCUUAAACAUUUAGUCUUGUCUAUUCAUCUUUAUAAUGAAUUAGGUCUACUAGUCGACAUAUGAUUGAGGACUCAAUAUCUUACUCAGAUCUAAGAACGUGUUGUCGUUCAGCAACAUAAUGCACACUGUUUUAUUAUUGAAAUUCAGUUCGUUUAUUUUAAAAUGUUAUAUUUUACUACUCAAAAUGUAUAUAAUGUUUUAUUUGUUAAAUAAUGACAAAAUUGUUGGUUUUAAGAAUAUUCAUCAAUCGAUGCAUUAAGUAAAUCUUAUUAAUAAAUAGCUUGUAAAUAGUUUAGAUGUCGUUGUUCAGUUGUAUGUAACCAUCCAAUAUAAGGAAUACAUAACCUUCAAAUGACCAAAAAUAUACACUGAACCUAGAAAUAGUCGUUUAAUUACUUAUUUGGGACACUUGUUCUUGAUUAAAAAUAAACAAACAAUACUACCUUUAUUGCGUUGUGUAUUUAUGUGUAAUCAUCAAGCCAUUAUACAGAUGUAGUUUUCAUAUAUUCACAUGAAUUCAUGCAAAACCAUUUGGUCAUUUAGUUUUAUUCUUGGUAGGAUUUUGCUGGAAACUUAUUUAUAAUGUAUUAUCUUAAAAAAAACUUGACAUUGACCUUGACCUUUAUGUGGACUGAAUAUUUUUAACACCAAGAAGUAUUUGUGAAGAGCUUGAGAUAUAUUCACAAUUUAAUGUUGUUUAUAUUGUUAGCAUUAUAGUCACUAAUUAUUAUAUUUUAAAAACAUAGUAUUUACGGCGGUAACAGUCUUUUUCUGCCUUGUGGUACUGAUUUAACCCACCCACUUUUAAACACAUUUUUGUGCAAGACAGAUUGCUCUCAAUGAUCAAAAACCUAAGCAAUCGAUUCUUUAGUCUUGCCUGUAUUCCUCAAUACCGAAUAUUUCUUGUUUAUGUCUGACUAUUUUUUCUUACAUAUUUGCUAGCAUUUGGUUUGUGACGAUAUGGCUAUUCUUAUGUAUUUUUUACCAUAUUUUUCACAAUUUUGUCCAAAUUGAUGUUAAAAUGUUCAUAUCAGCAUUUGGUUUACACAAUUUUUCAUACGUGGAUGUAUUUCAACCCCAAAAAUUGCUUUUUAUGAUAUAAAUUGCAUUCAGUAGCACAUCAAAAGCUACAGGGACAUUUUCGGAGAAACAAGCACUUUUGAUCAAAA